GCUCCAAUAGCGUAUAUUUAAGUUGUUGCAGUUAAAAAGCUCGUAGUUGGAUUUCGGGUGGGUUCUAGCGGUCCGCCUCUGGUGUGUACUGCUAUGGCUCACCUUUCUGCUGGGGACACGCUCUUGGGCUUAACUGUCCGGGACGUGGAAUCAGCGAUGCUACUUUGAGUAAAUUGGAGUGUUCAAAGCAGGCGUACGCU
rnacentral:rRNA from 1 species